rnacentral:tRNA from 1 species
CAAAUUGGAGCUUGAAAGUUAAGCAAUUCAUUUACACUGAAUAGUUAUCGUGCGAUUCGAUUUAAUUUGA